rnacentral:rRNA from 1 species
GACGAACGCUGGCGGCGUGCCUAAUACAUGCAAGUCGAGCGAACAGACCAGGAGCUUGCUCCUCUUUCCUUAGCCGCGGACGGCUGAGUAACACGUGACACACCUACCUAUAAGCCUGGACUAACUUCUAGAACCCGGAGCUAAUACCUGAUAACAUGUUGAACCGCAUGGUUCUACAGUGAAAGACGGUCUUGCUUUCACUUAUAGAUGAUUCCGCGCCGCAUUAGCUAGUUGGUAAGGUAACGGCGUACCAAGACAACGAUGCGUAGCCGUCCUCAGAGGGUGAUGGGCGACGGUGGAACUGAGACACGGUCCAGACUCCUACUGGAGGCAGCAGUAGGGAAUCUUCCGCAAGGGGCGAAAGCCUGACGGUGCAGCGCCGAGUGAGUGUAGAAGGUCUUCGGAUCGUAGAACUCUGUUAUUAGGGAAGAAGAAAUGUGUAAGUAGCUAUGCACGUCUUGACGGUACCUGAACAGAAAGCCCCGGCUAACUACGUG